AACUGGGAUUAGAUACCCCACUAUGCCUAACCGUAAAAUUUAACCCACACCUACAAACGCCAGGGUACUACGAGCCUCAGCUUAAAACCCAAAGGACUUGACGGUAUCCCACCCAACUAGAGGAGCCUGUUCUAUAAUCGAUAAUCCACGAUAUACCAAACCAUUUCUCGCCAUUCAGCCUGUAUACCUCCGUCGCAAGCUUACCGUAUGAACGUACACCAGUAGGCCAAAGGACUUUAACGUCAUAACGUCAGGUCAAGGUGCAGCUAAUGAAAUGGAAGUAAUGGGCUACAAUUUCUAAAUUAGAACAAACGAAAAACUACAUGAAACAUAGUCAUGAAGGCGGAUUUAGCAGUAAGUAGGAAAUAGAGAGUCCUACUAAACAUGGCCCUGGGAUGUGUACACACCGCCCGUCACCCUCUGCAGUCAA
rnacentral:rRNA from 1 species